rnacentral:rRNA from 1 species
UAAGUUAGAUGUGAAAGCCCCGGGCUCAACCAGGGAAUUGCAUUUAAAACUGUCCAGCUAGAGUCUUGUAGAGGGGGGUAGAAUUCCAGGUGUAGCGGUGAAAUGCGUAGAGAUCUGGAGGAAUACCGGUGGCGAAGGCGGCCCCCUGGACAAAGACUGACGCUCAGGUGCGAAAGCGUGGGGAGCAAACAGGAUUAGAUACCCUGGUAGUCCACGCCGUAAACGAUGUCGAUUUGGAGGCUGUGUCCUUGAGACGUGGCUUCCGGAGCUAACGCGUUAAAUCGACCGCCUGGGGAGUACGGCCGCAAGGUUA